rnacentral:rRNA from 1 species
CAGCCGCCACGGUAAUACGUAGGGCGCAAGCGUUAUCCGGAAUUAUUGGGCGUAAAGAGCUCGUAGGCGGUUUGUCGCGUCUGCCGUGAAGGUCCGGGGCUCAACCCCGGAUCUGCGGUGGGUACGGGCAGACUAGAGUGAUGUAGGGGAGACUGGAAUUCCUGGUGUAGCGGUGAAAUGCGCAGAUAUCAGGAGGAACACCGAUGGCGAAGGCAGGUCUCUGGGCAUUAACUGACGCUGAGGAGCGAAAGCAUGGGGAGCGAACAGGAUUAGAUACCCCGGUAGUCCCUGUCUCUUAUAC